CUCCGCGGGAAGCCGUCUAGAAUGGUCGGGGCGACUCACCGUCGCCGCGGCACCGGCGGCGGCCUCAAUACCGAGAACGACCGCCUCCGCAGCUCGCAGUUGGGAGUCUGUCAGAAGGACGCCGGCGUGUGGGAUCUUAGUUCCCUGACCAGGGAUCCAACUGGUGCCCCUGCAUUGGAAGUGUGGAGUCCCAAUCACUGGACCGCCAGGGAAGUUCUAGAGGAAUUGCUUGCAGAAUCUUAGUUCCCUGACCAGGAAUUGAACUGGGACCCUGGCAGAGAAAGCACUGAUCCUAACCACUGAACCACCAAGGAAUUCCCAC